rnacentral:tRNA from 1 species
GCCGCGGUGCCCGAGCGGACUAAGGGGUUCGGCUUGAGACCGAAUCCCCGUCAAGGGGGCCGGGGUUCGAAUCCCCGCCGCGGCG